rnacentral:rRNA from 1 species
AAAUUGAAGAGUUUGAUCAUGGCUCAGAUUGAACGCUGGCGGCAGGCCUAACACAUGCAAGUCGAACGGUAACAGGAAGCAGCUUGCUGCUCUGGUGACGAGUGGCGGACGGGUGAGUAAUGUCUGGGAAACUGCCUGAUGGAGGGGGAUAACUACUGGAAACGGUGGCUAAUACCGCAUAACGUCGCAAGACCAAAGAGGGGGACCUUCGGGCCUCUUGCCAUCAGAUGUGCCCAGAUGGGAUUAGCUUGUUGGUGAGGUAACGGCUCACCAAGGCGACGAUCCCUAGCUGGUCUGAGAGGAUGACCAGCCACACUGGAACUGAGACACGGUCCAGACUCCUACGGGAGGCAGCAGUGGGGAAUAUUGCACAAUGGGCGCAAGCCUGAUGCAGCCAUGCCGCGUGUAUGAAGAAGGCCUUCGGGUUGUAAAGUACUUUCAGCGGGGAGGAAGGUGUUGUGGUUAAUAACCGCAGCAAUUGACGUUACCCGCAGAAGAAGCACCGGCUAACUCCGUGCCAGCAGCCGCGGUAAUACGGAGGGUGCAAGCGUUAAUCGGAAUUACUGGGCGUAAAGCGCACGCAGGCGGUCUGUCAAGUC